UUGAACGCUGGCGGCAGGCCUAACACAUGCAAGUCGAGCGGUAGCACGAGAGAGCUUGCUCUCUGGGUGACGAGCGGCGGACGGGUGAGUAAUGUCUGGGAAACUGCCUGAUGGAGGGGGAUAACUACUGGAAACGGUAGCUAAUACCGCAUAACGUCUACGGACCAAAGUGGGGGACCUUCGGGCCUCACGCCAUCAGAUGUGCCCAGAUGGGAUUAGCUAGUAGGUGGGGUAAUGGCUCACCUAGGCGACGAUCCCUAGCUGGUCUGAGAGGAUGACCAGCCACACUGGAACUGACACACGGUCCACACUCCUACGGGAGGCAGCAGUGGGGAAUAUUGCACAAUGGGCGCAAGCCUGAUGCAGCCAUGCCGCGUGUGUGAAGAAUGCCUUAGGGUUGUCAAGCACUUUCAGCGAGGAGGAAGGGUUCAGUGUUAAUAGCACUGUUCAUUGACGUUACUCGCAGAAGAAGCACCGGCUAACUCCGUGCCAGCAGCCGCGGUAAUACGGAGGGUGCAAGCGUUAAUCGGAAUUACUGGGCGUAAAGCGCA
rnacentral:rRNA from 1 species